rnacentral:rRNA from 1 species
UCCUACGGGAGGCAGCAGUAAGGAAUAUUGGACAAUGGAGGCAACUCUGAUCCAGCCAUGCCGCGUGAAGGAUUAAGGCCCUAUGGGUUGUAAACUUCUUUUAGACGGGACAAAACCCCUUUACGUGUAAAGGGUCGAUGGUACUGUCAGAAUAAGCAUCGGCUAACUUCGUGCCAGCAGCCGCGGUAAUACUAAGGAUGCAAGCGUUAUCCGGAAUUAUUGGGUUUAAAGGGUGCGUAGGCGGACUAAUAAGUCAGUGGUGAAAGCCUGCAGCUUAACUGCAGAAUUGCCGUUGAUACUGUUAGUUUUGAGUACAGUUGAGGUAGGCGGAAUGUGUCAUGUAGCGGUGAAAUGCUUAGAUAUGACACAGAACACCGAUUGCGAAGGCAGCUUGCUAAGCUGUAACUGACGCUGAGGCACGAAAGCGUGGGGAGCAAACAGGAUUAGAUACCCUGGUAGUCCACGCCCUAAACGAUGAUAACUCGCUGUUGGCGAUACACUGUCAGCAGCCAAGCGAAAGCAUUAAGUUAUCCACCUGGGGCGUACGACCGCAAGGUUGAAACUCAAAGGAAUUGACGG